ACUGAUGAUGGUGACUACAAUAUCAAGUUGCGUAAUCUCAUCAAGUUCCUUGAAGAUGGCGAUAAAACCAAGAUCACCUUGCGUUUCCGCGGUCGUGAGAUGGCGCAUCAGGAUAUUGGCUUCCGCAUGCUGGAACGUCUGAAAGCCGAUCUGGAGCCGUAUGGCCAGGUCGAGCAGUUCCCGAAGAUGGAAGGCCGCCAAAUGAUCAUGGUUCUUUCGCCUAAGAAGAAGAAGUAAGAUACAAUAGCGUUUUACUGUGGGUGGAAACUGCUCGCGCCGGCAUUGGCGCGGCGUCACACCCCAGGCAGAAUUUGCGCGGC
rnacentral:misc_RNA from 1 species